rnacentral:tRNA from 1 species
CGCGGAAUGGAGCAGUCUGGUAGCUCGCCGGGCUCAUAACCCGGAGGUCGUUGGUUCAAAUCCAUCUUCCGCAACCA